rnacentral:rRNA from 1 species
AAAGAACGCUAAUACCGCAUAACAUAUCGGAACCGCAUGAUUCUGAUAUCAAAGGAGCAAUCCGCUGAGAGAUGGGCUCGCGUCCGAUUAGUUAGUUGGUGAGGUAACGGCUCACCAAGACUACGAUCGGUAGCCGGACUGAGAGGUUGAUCGGCCACAUUGGGACUGAGACACGGCCCAGACUCCUACGGGAGGCAGCAGUGGGGGAUAUUGCGCGAUGGGGGAAACCCUGACGCAGCAACGCCGCGUGAAGGAAGAAGGUCUUCGGAUUGUAAACUUCUUUUGUCAGGGACGAAGAAAGUGACGGUACCUGACGAAUAAGCUCCGGCUAACUACGUGCCAGCAGCCGCGGUAAUACGUAGGGAGCGAGCGUUGUCCGGAUUUACUGGGUGUAAAGGGUGCGUAGGCGGCCGAGCAAGUCAGUUGUGAAAACUAUGGGCUUAACCCAUAACGUGCAAUUGAAACUGUCCGGCUUGAGUGAAGUAGAGGUAGGCGGAAUUCCCGGUGUAGCGGUGAAAUGCGUAGAGAUCGGGAGGAACACCAGUGGCGAAGGCGGCCUACUGGGCUUUAACUGACGC